GAUGAACGCUGGCGGCGUGCCUAAUACAUGCAAGUCGAGCGAAUGGAUUGAGAGCUUGCUCUUAUGAAGUUAGCGGCGGACGGGUGAGUAACACGUGGGUAACCUGCCCAUAAGACUGGGAUAACUCCGGGAAACCGGGGCUAAUACCGGAUAACAUUUUGAACCGCAUGGUUCGAAAUUGAAAGGCGGCUUCGGCUGUCACUUAUGGAUGGACCCGCGUCGCAUUAGCUAGUUGGUGAGGUAACGGCUCACCAAGGCAACGAUGCGUAGCCGACCUGAGAGGGUGAUCGGCCACACUGGGACUGAGAAACGGCCCAGACUCCUACGGGAGGCAGCAGUAGGGAAUCUUCCGCAAUGGACGAAAGUCUGACGGAGCAACGCCGCGUGAGUGAUGAAGGCUUUCGGGUCGUAAAAAUCUGUUGUUAGGGAAGAACAAGUGCUAGUUGGAUAAGCUGGCACCUUGACGGUACCUAACCAGAAAGCCACGGCUAACUACGUGCCAGCCGCCGCAGUAA
rnacentral:rRNA from 1 species